AUUGAACGCUGCCGGCAUGCUUUACACAUGCAAGUCGAACGGCAGCGCGGGGCAACCUGGCGGUGAGUGGCGAACGGGUGAGUAAUAUAUCGGAACGUACCCAAGAGUGGGGGAUAACGUAGCGAAAGUUACGCUAAUACCGCAUACGAUCUUAGGAUGAAAGCAGGGGACCGCAAGGCCUUGUGCUCCUGGAGCGGCCGAUAUCUGAUUAGCUAGUUGGUGAGGUAAAGGCUCACCAAGGCGACGAUCAGUAGCUGGUCUGAGAGGACGACCAGCCACACUGGGACUGAGACACGGCCCAGACUCCUACGGGAGGCAGCAGUGGGGAAUUUUGGACAAUGGGCGCAAGCCUGAUCCAGCAAUGCCGCGUGAGUGAAGAAGGCCUUCGGGUUGUAAAGCUCUUUUGUCAGGGAAGAAACGGCUGAGGAUAAUACCUUCGGCUAAUGACGGUACCUGAAGAAUAAGCACCGGCUAACUACGUGCCAGCCGCCGCGGUAA
rnacentral:rRNA from 1 species